GGGUCAGUAGGUUGGUCGUGCCACCGGUACGUACUGGUCUCACUGAUUCCUCCUUCCUGAAGAACCGUAAUGCCAUUAAUUUGGUGUUGGGGGGAAACUGGACUGUUACUUUGAAAAAAUUAGAGUGUUUAAAGCAAGCUAACGCUUGAAUACAUUAGCAUGGAAUAAUGAAAUAGGACGAUCGAUCCUAUUUUGUUGGUUUCUAGGAUUGACGUA
rnacentral:rRNA from 1 species